rnacentral:rRNA from 1 species
CCUUUAGAUUGUCCAAAGUGGGAUUAGCGAGUUGGUGAGGUACUGGCUCACCAAGGAAACGAUCCCUAGCUCGUGUGAGAGGAUGUUCUGCCACUCUGGGCCGGCGCCACGGCCCAGACUCCUACGGUAGGCAGCAGUGGGGAAUAUUGCACAAUGGGCGCAAGCCUGAUGCAGCCAUGCCGCGUGUGGGAAGACGGCCUUCGGGGUGUAAAGCAC